AGGGCACCUUGCAGUUUCGUAAGAUACUACAUGUUUUCACUUACAAAAACUUGAAAUAGGUGCCAGGAAAUAAAGAGCUUAAAAAUCAGAUAAAAUAGUUACCGGUGAAUUUUCCAGGACUGUUCCCUCUUCCAUUUUCUAACUUGUUAAUACAAAUGCUUCUGCAAGAAGAAGUCAGUACCAAGAAGUUAUAGUGUUUAUGUGUUGCCUUUAUUUAAUUAAUGUUAUUUCAUUAGUAUUUUUUAGAAACCAUUGAUAAAACUAAAGAUGUACUUGCUUUGACAUUUUCCUUAAGAUGUUGCCAAACUAACAUCAAGUAUAUACAAAGAUUUUAUAACUGAAGAUACAUAUGCAUCAAUUUAUGUAUGCUAUCAUUUGACAGCAUUGUCAUAAAAUGCUAUUUUUAAUGCCACUGU